ACUGCUUUCUGGCCCCGAGUUUGAGAAGAGGGGGAGUUCAACAGAGUCUGGCUGGAGAGAAGGGCAAGGGGCUGGGGAGCCGGGGAUCCCAGGGGUUUGUGGGGACAAACCAGCCCCCCUCUCCUCCUGGGGCUUUUAGCUCUGAUGGGACAUGGAUCCAACCUUUCCUGAGGACCUACUCCACACCAGGCCCUCUGCAGUGCCCUCUGAAUACUCACAGCUACAUUGUGAGGAUGUAAUUACAUCCCCAUUUUACAGAUGAGGAAACUGAGGCCCCGAGUGCAUCUUCCUCAAGACCACAUGGUGAAUGGUGAGUGGCAGAGCCUGCGCACCUCUGCCGACUCCCGUGGGUGCAGGAGAGGUGGUCAGACCUACCCUUUCAAUUGUACCACACUGCCCAGGUUGAGAAGAGCUUUCAGUUCAGUAACAGUCCCUACCAGCCUGGAAAACAGACCAGCCUCUGUCCCUCCACGGAGAUGACCCACUCCCAUCUUGCUUGUACCUGGCUUCAGGGAUCCUGGGGAGAGACAGGAGGUUAAAAAAGGUGAGACUAACAGUGGGGUCCCUGGACUGCCUGCUGUGGCACUCCCCUGCAAGGGCACCUGGUAGGGAGGACCUAACACUCUCCGCUACACACACGCCACCACACCCGACACCACCCCAAGCCAAACAAGGCCCUAGGAGGGGGCUGCCAGGCCUGGCAGAGGAGAGACCCACCCCUGCAGUUCUGCCCACUGCAGCCAGAUGCGCUCGAGCCCAGGGGAGGCACAGCCAUAGCACCUCCCAGUGGCGCCUGCGGGAAGAGCAGGAAGAGGAGCGGGGCCCCGGCAAGGGGAAAAAGCCCACUCCUCCAUCCCUGACGCCGCAGACCUCUGGUUGUGUUCUGAAUUCACCAAACUCCUUGGCCUCCAAAUCGUGUCCUCCUUAGCUGACU